rnacentral:lncRNA from 1 species
UCCUCCAACCAUAUUUUGAUGUUCCCCAAGUUUUGAACACAAUCCGAUAUCGAUUGGUCCAUGAAAUUGGACAAUUCAGGUUCGUACGACGUUCGUUCUGAAAUGGAGUGGUUGGUGUAUUGCAUAGUUCUAGAGAUUGGAUAUCACUCAAAACCAGCCAAAUGAUUCCUCCCACCAUAUUAUGAUAUUCCCCAAGUUUUGGACCCAAUCCGAUAUCGAUUGGUCCAUGAAAUUGAAAAAUUCAGGUUCGUACGAAGUUCGUUUUGAAAUGAAGUGGUUCGUGUAUUCCAC